CCUACGGGUGGCUGCAGUGGGGAAUAGUCUACAAUGGACGAAAGUCUGAUAGUGCGACGCCGCGUGAACGAAGAAUCCCUUCGGGGUGUAAAGUUCUUUUAUAUGUGAGCAAUGCUUUUUAUGUGAAUAGCAUGAGAAGAGAGAUAUUAGCAUAUGAAUAAGCAACGGCUAACUCCGUGCCAGCAGCCGCGGUAACACGGGGGUUGCAAGCGUUGUCCGGAAUUACUAGGCGUAAAGGGCAGGUAGGCGGAUCUAUAAGUUUGAUGUUAAAGGCAGCGGCUCACCCGCUGUACGGCGUCGGAUACUGUAGAUCUGGAAUGCGGUUGGGGAAGACAGAAUUCCUGGUGUAGCGGUGGAAUGCGCAGAGAUCAGGAGGAAUACCAAAGGCGAAGGCAGUCUUCUAAGCCGUUAUUGACGCUAAACUGCGAAGGUGUGGGUAUCAAACAGGAUUAGAUACCCGUGUAGUC
rnacentral:rRNA from 1 species